rnacentral:rRNA from 1 species
CCCGGUUUCCAUUUCGAACCCGGUAGCUAAGGUCGCCUGCGCUGAUGGUACUGCGCUCGGGAGGGCGUGGGAGAGUAGGUCGCUGCCGCCA